GUCAGUGUGUCCGAGUGGUUAAGGAGUGAGACUUGAAAUCUCAUGCUUUCGAGCGCGCAGGUUCGAACCCUGUCGCUGACG
rnacentral:tRNA from 1 species